rnacentral:rRNA from 1 species
GGAUAACAUUUUGAACCGCAUGGUUCGAAAUUGAAAGGCGGCUUCGGCUGUCACUUAUGGAUGGACCCGCGUCGCAUUAGCUAGUUGGUGAGGUAACGGCUCACCAAGGCAACGAUGCGUAGCCGACCUGAGAGGGUGAUCGGCCACACUGGGACUGAGACACGGCCCAGACUCCUACGGGAGGCAGCAGUAGGGAAUCUUCCGCAAUGGACGAAAGUCUGACGGAGCAACGCCGCGUGAGUGAUGAAGGCUUUCGGGUCGUAAAACUCUGUUGUUAGGGAAGAACAAGUGCUAGUUGAAUAAGCUGGCACCUUGACGGUAUCUAAUCAGAAAGCCACGGCUAACUACGUGCCAGCAGCCGCGGUAAUACGUAGGUGGCAAGCGUUAUCCGGAAUUAUUUGGGCGUAAAGCGCGCGCAGGUGGUUUCUUUAAGUCUGAUGUGAAAGCCCACGGCUCAACCGUGGAGGGUCAUUGGGAAACUGGGAGACUUGAGUGCAGAAGAGGAAAGUUGGAAUUUCCAUGUGUAGCGGGUGGAAAUGCGUAGAGAUUAUGGGAGGAACACCAGUGGCGAAAGGCGACUUUUCUGGGUCUGUAACUGACACUUGAGGCGCGAAAAGCGUGGGGGAGCAAACAGGGAUUUAGGAUACCCCUGGUAGUUCCACGCCGUAAACGAUGGAGUUGCUUAAGUGGUUAGAGGGGGUUCCCGGCCCCUUU